rnacentral:rRNA from 1 species
UACGUAGGGGGCAAGCGUUGUCCGGAUUUAUUGGGCGUAAAGAGCGUGUAGGCGGCCUGGAAGGUCAGCUGUGAAAACUCGAGGCUCAACCUCGAGACGUCGGUUGAAACCACCUGGCUAGAGUCCGGAAGAGGAGAGUGGAAUUCCCGGUGUAGCGGUGAAAUGCGCAGAUAUCGGGAAGAACACCCGUGGCGAAGGCGGCUCUCUGAGACGGUACUGACGCUGAGACGCGAAAGCGUGGGGAGCGAACAGG